UACGUAGGGGGCAAGCGUUGUCCGGAAUCAUUGGGCGUAAAGCGCGCGUAGGCGGCUAGAUCAGUCUGCUGUAAAAGUCAAAGGCUCAACCUUUGAAAGCCGGUGGAUACUGUCUAGCUAGAGUCCGGAAGAGGCGAGUGGAAUUCCUGGUGUAGCGGUGGAAUGCGCAGAUAUCAGGAGGAACACCAACGGCGAAGGCAGCUCGCUGGGACGGUACUGACGCUAAGGCGCGAAAGCGUGGGGAGCGAACGAGG
rnacentral:rRNA from 1 species